UUAUUACGUUUCUUAAACCUAAUUCUCUCUCUUUUAUUUCCUCCUAACCCUAGCUGUCAUCAUUAGCUUUUAAUCUCUGAGAAUCUUGAAACAAAUUUUUAUUCAACUCUUAUGUUCCUUCGUGUUAUAUUUGGAUCCGUCUCGUCCUAGUUGAAGAAGACUCACGCUUCUCCGAUUCUCAUCUUCGUUCUCGCCAAACGACUCGUCGACUUCUCGUGCUUCGGAGUCUACGCAGGGUUAGCUGUUUGCCAAGAUCACGUGGAUAAGCAAGCAGUGAGUUUGUAGUGCUAUUUACUGCUUUAUUAAGUACCGCAUCGUAUUUUAAUAUUAUAAAUGUUUGUGAACUGUUUUUACGGAUUAUGGAUCUGGAUUGAAACGAGCUACUCGAUAGACUUGUAUCGAGACUGUGUGCACCGGUAAGUACUCUGGGAAACGACAGACUAAAGUCUUGCUUACGCUGGUAUAUUUAUAUGACGAGGAUUUGUUCCCGUCCACUCUGGGUUUAUCGGUAUGCUAUGUCAUACUUACGCUGAGAUCAUUUCAAUACUGUUUUCCAUAAUCAUAUAUAUUAUAUUAGUAUAAAAAUAUUUUGAUUUAAGGGUUUUAAACUUAAUAAAUGUAAAUAGUAUUGCGAACUCAUCUCAGUAUAUCUGACCCCGUUGUUUUCCCAAAUUUUCCAGGUUUGUGAUUUGAAAGUUGGUCCACUCCGAUUCUUUUGAUUCCUCGGAGGUUUUUAUGUUAUUUAACUAGUUUCUGUUUUCAAACUCUUAGACCGCAGUAGAACUAGUUUAUAUAUUGCAUUUGUUAUUGCAUUGGGAUUGUCGAUUAGACCGAUUAUUUAUUAUUGGCAUAUUUACACUGGAAUAUUUUAUUAUUA